rnacentral:rRNA from 1 species
GGGGAAUAUUGGGCAAUGGAGGAAACUCUUACCCAGCAAUGCCGCGUGAAGGAAGAAGGUCUUCGGAUUGUAAACUUCUGUUAUAGGUGACGAAGAAUGACGGUAGCCUAUGAGGAAGCCCCGGCAAACUAUGUGCCAGCAGCCGCGGUAAUACAUAGGGGGCGAGCGUUGUCCGGAAUGACUGGGCGUAAAGGGAGUGUAGGCGGUCAUGCAAGUUAUAUGUGAAAGCCCGGGGCUUAACCUCGGAAUUGCAUGUAAAACUGCAUGACUUGAGUGUGGGAGAGGAAAGUGGAAUUCCUAGUGUAGCGGUGGAAUGCGUAGAUAUUAGGAGGAACACCAGUGGCGAAGGCGGCUUUCUGGACCAUAACUGACGCUGAGGCUCGAAAGCGUGGGGAGCAAAC